GCAGGUGUGGCGGAAUCGGCAGACGCACAGGACUUAAAAUCCUGGGUCUGAAUAAGGCGUGUGGGUUCAAGUCCCACCACCUGCACCA
rnacentral:tRNA from 1 species